GACGCUGGCGGCGUGCCUAACACAUGCAAGUCGAACGGGGUAACGUCCUUCGGGGGUUGCUUAGUGGCGAACGGGUGAGUAACGCGUGAGAAACCUGCCUUUCAGUGGGGGACAACAGUUGGAAACGACUGCUAAUACCGCAUAAUGUUUCAAGAGGGCAUCCUUUGAAACCAAAGCUUUAUGUGCUGAAAGAUGGUCUCGCGUCUGAUUAGCUAGUUGGUGAGGUAACGGCUCACCAAGGCGACGAUCAGUAGCCGGUCUGAGAGGAUGAACGGCCACAUUGGGACUGAGAUACGGCCCAGACUCCUACGGGAGGCAGCAGUGGGGAAUAUUGGGCAAUGGGGGAAACCCUGACCCAGCAACGCCGCGUGAAGGAAGAAGGCCUUCGGGUUGUAAACUUCUUUUACCAGGGACGAAGAACGUGACGGUACCUGGAGAAAAAAGCAACGGCUAACUACGUG
rnacentral:rRNA from 1 species